rnacentral:rRNA from 1 species
CGGACGGGUGAGUAACACGUGGAUAACCUACCUAUAAGACUGGGAUAACUUCGGGAAACCGGAGCUAAUACCGGAUAAUAUUUUGAACCGCAUGGUUCAAAAGUGAAAGACGGUCUUGCUGUCACUUAUAGAUGGAUCCGCGCUGCGUUAGCUAGUUGGUAAGGUAACGGCUUACCAAGGCAACGAUGCAUAGCCGACCUGAGAGGGUGAUCGGCCACACUGGAACUGAGACACGGUCCAG